rnacentral:rRNA from 1 species
UACGUAGGUGGCAAGCGUUGUCCGGAAUUAUUGGGCGUAAAGCGCGCGCAGGCGGCCUCUUAAGUCUGAUGUGAAAUCUUGCGGCUCAACCGCAAGCGGCCAUUGGAAACUGGGGGGGCUUGAGUACAGAAGAGGAGAGUGGAAUUCCACGUGUAGCGGUGAAAUGCGUAGAUAUGUGGAGGAACACCAGUGGCGAAGGCGACUCUCUGGUCUGUAACUGACGCUGAGGAGCGAAAGCCAGGGGAGCAAACGGG